CAGCAGUAUACUGUAGGUAGGGGUAAAGGAUAGAUAAUAGACAGUAACAGCAGUAUACUGUAGGUAGGGGUAAAGGAUAGAUAAUAGACAGUAACAGCAGUAUACUGUAGGUAGGGGUAAAGGAUAGGUAAUAGACAGUAACAGCAGUAUACUGUCGGUAGGGGUAAAGGAUAGAUAAUAGACAGUAACAGCAGUAUACUGUAGGUAGGGGUAAAGGAUAGGUAAUAGACAGUAACAGCAGUAUACUGUAGGUAGGGGUAAAGGAUAGAUAAUAGACAGUAACAGCAGUAUACUGUAGGUAGGGGUAAAGGAUAGAUAAUAGACAGUAACAGCAGUAUACUGUAGGUAGGGGUAAAGGAUAGAUAAUAGACAGUAACAGCAGUAUACUGUAGGUAGGGGUAAAGGAUAGGUAAUAGACAGUAACAGCAGUAUACUGUAGGUAGGGGUAAAGGAUAGAUAAUAGACAGUAACAGCAGUAUACUGUAGGUAGGGGCAAAGGAUAGAUAAUAGACAGUAACAGCAGUAUACUGUAGGUAGGGGUAAAGGAUAGAUAAUAGACAGUAACAGCAGUAUACUGUAGGUAGGGGUAAAGGAUAGAUAAUAGACAGUAACAGCAGUAUACUGUAGGUAGGGGUAAAGGAUAGAUAAUAGACAGUAACAGCAGUAUACUGUAGGUAGGGGUAAAGGAUAGAUAAUAGACAGUAACAGCAGUAUACUGUAGGUAGGGGUAAAGGAUAGAUAAUAGACAGUAACAGCAGUAUACUGUAGGUAGGGGUAAAGGAUAGAUAAUAGACAGUAACAGCAGUAUAUGUGAUGAGUCAAAAGAGUUGAGAGUGCAAAAAGGGUCAAUGCAGAUAGUCCAGGUAGCUAUUUAGUUAGCUAUUUAACUAACUAUUUAUCAGUCUUAUAGCUUGGGGCUAGAAGCUGUUCAGGGUCCUGUUGGUUCCGGACUUUGAGAGGAGCAGGGGCCAGUGUGUGUUUAGCAGAGAGAGAGAACGCCAAGCCGACUCACGUCAGUUAGACAAACUUGUUGCUGCCAUAGGUUAUCCAUCAUAUCAUCUGGUAGUGCCUAUCAUGACUGCAUUAACUUGUUAGCUAGCUAAGAGUAGCCAGCUAAUUUAGCCGGCUAGCUAGCUAGCUACAGUAAAGCAAAACAUGUUUCUGCUCUCCCUGUCCAAUGUCUACAUUCAUAUGAAACAACAGCCCAACAGCCUCAUUGUAGCCUAUUCCUUCUCAUUUAGCCAACUUCAUUCCAUAAUUUGUGUGUGUGCAUGUAUGUGUGUGUGAUGGAACUGACAGCUCAUGCUGAGGGAGACAGAGUAGUAGUCUGUGUGUGUGUGUGUGUGUGUGUGUGUGAGAGAGAGAGAGAGAAAGAGAUGGGACUGACAGCUGAGGGAGACAGAGUAGUAGUCUGUGUGUGUGUGUGUGUGUGUGUG
rnacentral:lncRNA from 1 species